GACGAACGCUGGCGGCGUGCCUAAUACAUGCAAGUCGAGCGAGCGGAACUAACAGAUUUACUUCGGUAAUGACGUUAGGAAAGCGAGCGGCGGAUGGGUGAGUAACACGUGGGGAACCUGCCCCAUAGUCUGGGAUACCACUUGGAAACAGGUGCUAAUACCGGAUAAGAAAGCAGAUCGCAUGAUCAGCUUUUAAAAGGCGGCGUAAGCUGUCGCUAUGGGAUGGCCCCGCGGUGCAUUAGCUAGUUGGUAAGGUAAAGGCUUACCAAGGCGAUGAUGCAUAGCCGAGUUGAGAGACUGAUCGGCCACAUUGGGACUGAGACACGGCCCAAACUCCUACGGGAGGCAGCAGUAGGGAAUCUUCCACAAUGGACGCAAGUCUGAUGGAGCAACGCCGCGUGAGUGAAGAAGGUUUUCGGAUCGUAAAGCUCUGUUGUUGGUGAAGAAGGAUAGAGGUAGUAACUGGCCUUUAUUUGACGGUAAUCAACCAGAAAGUCAUGGCUAACUACGUGCCAGCAGCCGCGGUAAUACGUAGGUGGCAAGCGUUGUCCGGAUUUAUUGGGCGUAAAGCGAGCGCAGGCGGAAGAAUAAGUCUGAUGUGAAAGCCCUCGGCUUAACCGAGGAACUGCAUCGGAAACUGUUUUUCUUGAGUGCAGAAGAGGAGAGUGGAACUCCAUGUGUAGCGGUGGAAUGCGUAGAUAUAUGGAAGAACACCAGUGGCGAAGGCGGCUCUCUGGUCUGCAACUGACGCUGAGGCUCGAAAGCAUGGGUAGCGAACAGG
rnacentral:rRNA from 1 species